CACGCAGUACAAGAAUUUC
rnacentral:miRNA from 1 species